UUCGCUAGCGACGUUUAGUAUACAGGUGCUUCCGAAAUAAGGCAUGAUGUUCUUUACUGUCCUUUUUCAGCUGUUUAUUAGCACUCUUGUUAUAUUCCACGUAUGCCAUAUUGUCGGCACCAGCCAAUGUACUUAAAGAACCACUAGAACGUUUAGCUUUCGCCGGUGCUCUAGAGAGACUUCUGGAUCCAAAGCUAGUAUCCUCACCGUCAUCCAAAUCAGCUGCUUCUUCAUUUUG